rnacentral:rRNA from 1 species
GAGUUUGAUCAUGGCUCAGAUUGAACGCUGGCGGCAUGCCUUACACAUGCAAGUCGAACGGGCAGCACCGGGAGCUUGCUCCUGGGUGGCGAGUGGCGAACGGGUGAGUAAUGCAUCGGAACGUAUCCUGGAGUGGGGGAUAACGUAGCGGAAAGUUACGCUAAUACCGCAUAUUCUGUGAGCAGGAAAGCGGGGGACCUUCGGGCCUCGCGCUCUUGGAGCGGCCGAUGUCGGAUUAGCUAGUUGGUGAGGUAAAGGCGUCACCAAGGCGACGAUCCGUAGCAGGUCUGAGAGGAUGAUCUGCCACACUGGAACUGAGACACGGUCCAGACUCCUACGGGAGGCA